rnacentral:lncRNA from 1 species
UGUGGCUACAAAUGCAAUGAGUGAUCUCAGAGGUGGCUGAAUGCAGUGCUUUUCUGACUGGAAUGAUAAUGCCAACAGGAUGAUAAGAACUGAGAUGAAGCAUCCAAAAUGCCUUAUUAGCCUUUGAUGGGAUGUGAGGAGCUGCCAGGAUCUGCCUUUCAGCUGCAUUGUGUGUGGAAGUGCAGUGCUGCAGCAAUGUGGAGGGAAGGCCUAUUAGGGCUGCCUGAAGAGUUUGCAGAACGCAUGACAGAAUCCCACUUGAAAACAUUUUCUACUGCAGAAAUUGCUGUCUCAGGGGAAGGCGAAUAUAUUCUGAAGGAACAGCUGCUUCAGCUGUGCUGCUGUGUUCAAAACUCUCAACAUCCUUCUCAUAAUAACAGAUGCAUUACUGAGCAUUAGGAAAGAGUCUCUCCAGGGGAAGG